rnacentral:sRNA from 1 species
GUCGGGCAUGGUGGCCAUACCUGUAAUCCCAGCAGCUUGGGAGGCCGAGGCAGGAGGAUCCUGAGUUCAAAGCCAGCCUCAGCAACUUAGUGAGACCCUAAGUAGCUCAGUGAGACCCUGUCUCUA